rnacentral:lncRNA from 1 species
AGUUGAUCUCUAUAUACCACUUUUCUACAAAGACAAAUAUGAAAACAACGUAAGCCAUUGUCAAAUAAACUGAAGGAAAGUGCAUCAAUUCGAAUUCUUGAAUCCAAUACUUUACAAUAUUUAAUAUUUUACUUCGACAAACUUCUUCAAUUUCAAACAAUGUGUGAUCACCUUCAAGAACUACAGUCGUGCAAGUAAUUAACAAAAAAUAACACAAUAAAAUAAGUACUCAUUACUAAAAUGUACUAAAUAUAUUAUACCUAUUCUUAAUUAAAAACUUUAAUUAAUUAAAAUAUUCCUCUUCUUUUCAUAUCUUAGGAGUCAUAUGGUGUGUUCGUACUGUGUCAACACCGAAGUAACGAAGGGUCCUCUAGGGAACUCAUGCUGCUGGACCUGCUAUUCGGCUGCCUAGUCCUCUGCUUCCUCAUCAUCCUCUGUUGUCUCAUGUCUUACGAUGGUCUAUCUUCUCAGGCUCCUCCGUCUGCACAAGUUUUGAACAUCCUCAUCAAGUUCCUGAGAUCUAAAAACCAUGCCUGCGACGAUGUUGACAGGGUGGACAAAUACAAACACCAUGGACGGCCAGUCUCAUACAUCUGCCAAUUAGAUGUCGUAAGUGGGACUAUUUCGCUUACGGAUGAUAGUGCAAAUGACUCAUCCUAGCCACUUACAUAAAAAUAAUAAUUAAAAUAAACAUAUCAAUAAUUUAGAUUUUUCAUGUAUUUUUUGUGAGUAUCGAUAGGGUUUGAGUCCCAUUGUGGAUUUACGGGUGCGUGGAAUCAUAUGCAAGACCCAAAUUACAUAUAAUUUUAGGCCAAAUUUCUCUAUUUAAUACUUAAAUAUAUUGACAUUUUUCUGAAAUUUUAUAACUUCU